GGACCCGCACAAGUAGUGGAGCAUGUGGUUUAAUUCGAAGAUACGCGCAGAACCUUACCAACACUUGACAUGUUCGUCGCGACUUUAAGAGAUUAAAGUUUUCGGUUCGGCCGGACGAAACACAGGUGCUGCAUGGCUGUCGUCAGCUCGUGUCGUGAGAUGUUGGGUUAAGUCCCGCAACGAUGCGCAACCCUCACUUUUUAGUUGCCAUCAUUUAGUUGGGCACUCUGAAAGAACUGCCAGUGAUAAGCUGGAGGAAGGUGGGGAUGACGUCAAGUCCUCAUGGCCCUUACGUGUUGGGCUACACACGUGCUACAAUGGCGCAUACAGAGGGCAGCAAGCUAGCGAUAGUGAG
rnacentral:rRNA from 1 species